GCGGGCGUGGCGGAAUGGCAGACGCGCCAGACUUAGGAUCUGGUGCCAAAUGGCGUAAGAGUUCGAGUCUCUUCGCCCGCACCA
rnacentral:tRNA from 1 species